AGCCGAUAAUACUCAACCAUUCGCGAGGAUGGGGCGGAAAACCUUCAGGAUCUCUUUGAGACAGCCGGGUUGCCGAA
rfam:Nitrospirae bacterium GWC2_57_9 gwc2_scaffold_22465, whole genome shotgun sequence.